UCCCCUCCUCUUUCUUAAAGUUAUGUCAUGAGAGAGUAGACAGGACUUCAGAAUAAAAGAGUAUUAUUUACAAUGCAACAUUUGCUCAAGAAUGCACUGAGGCACCAACUUAGAUUUUUAUGUUCAUGUCUCUGGAGUGGGACUUCAACUCGCAGUCUUCUUGCUCAAAGCAAAAAGCAAACUGGAAAAGAAAAGUUGCAUUUGUGUCUGGGAGAAACAGGACUUCGCAACAACAAAGCUACAGUCAAUGAAUGAUCCCUGCUCCCAUCUAUUGGAAAUUUACAACAUUCGCAGUAUUUUGCUUUUAUGUCAGCAACACAUUGGACUAGAUUUUCAAAGCAGGAAUGGGAACCCAACAGCCAGAUGAAUUCUGGAUCCCAUUACUUUCACAGUGCGUUUGUAAGUGUAAAUAAACUGAUUGGGCAGGAGGCGCACUGAAUGUUAAUUUACUCUGAAACCAGUUGGUGGAAAGAAGAUGCUAAUAUGAUACUUAAUACUAGAUAUACUUAGAGUGCAAUGCGUGAAACCUGUAAUAUUGUACGAAAAUUCCCAAUAUUAAAACAUAUGAGCAGACCCUUGGAUUUGGACAGAGCCCUGUUUUUUUUUAAAAAACCUUUUUCAAAACUAAUGAGUCUGCAAGGGAUAAAGAAAAUCACCAGCAGAUGUGAGGACAUUGUUUGAGACAAAAACAAACUGCAGAUGCUGGAAUCCAAUGUAGUCAAUUAGGAAGCCGGAAGAACACAGAUGCUGCCUGACUUGCUGUGUUCUUCCAGCCUCCUGCUUCUCUACCAUUGGGACAUUGUGUAGCUUGUAUUUCCAAUUUACAACUCCUCUCUGGAACAAUCAACCUGAAACGACAGGAAUCUAGCCCCAAGAUGGAUUUGAUACCUUUGGCUACACAGCUCAGACAUUAUAGAGCCUGGAGAGGUGAUGUGAAAGAUAUCAGCAUCCAACAUGAAACAAAGACCAUUUACACCUUGUCUAAAGAUUGGAAAGCCAAUUAACCUCAAAGGCAAUAUCAACCGAACAAGGAGACUACAGAUGUGGCGUGGGGCCCACCAUCGGUAUAAUUGUCACCUCAAAUCUCACCUGAGCAGCUUCCAAGCCAAGACCCAAGAGAAGCUGAAUCAGUAGGCUGAACCGAGAAGCCAAAUUGGGAAGCUAAACCAAGAGCAUCAUUGGAAUGAGGGACACCCAAGAAGGGGAAGCCAACCAAGAGUUCCACAAUAGAACUGGCCAAACCAGCUUCUGGGAGCUUCUGAACACUGGUCUGUCCAAACCAAGAACACCAUCGGCAAGAACCUUAAAAAUGACCAUCAGAACCAAAGACUGACAGCUUGAAGCAAUAACCAACUCAGCCAAUUCCGCAAGUCCUCAGACACAACCUAAGUUGAAAACCGGGCUCAGCAAACCAGUAAAAGGUAAAGAAAACCAGGUAAUACGCACCUAACUGCAUCAACAGACACAACCCAAAUUUGGGUUGUGCAGCUCAAAAGUCCUCAACUAUGCUCUGGGUAUAGCAAGCCAGAACAGCCAGGAACCUCCAAAACUGUGAUCUCCGUGAUGAGCACAAACUCCGAGACCCCAAAGUUCCAACACAGUUAGCAGUGGGAGACAGGAGACAUUAGUGAAUUAGGA